rnacentral:rRNA from 1 species
UACGUAGGGUGCGAGCGUUAAUCGGAAUUACUGGGCGUAAAGCGUGCGCAGGCGGUUUGUAAGCCAGAUGUGAAAUCCCCGGGCUUAACCUGGGAAUGGCAUUUGGGACUGCAAGGCUGGAGUUUGGCAGAGGAGACUGGAAUUCCCGGUGUAGCAGUGAAAUGACGUAGAUAUCGGGAGGAAUACCGAUGGCGAAGGCAGGUCUCUGGGCUAUAACUGACGCUCAUGCACGAAAGCGUGGGGAGCAAACAGG